UGUUUUUACACCACCCAUGUCACCAACUCAGAGAGUGUUUUUAGAAUUCAAGAACUGUGGUCUGUCAUCUGUGCAUGGGUUCUUGCUUGAGAAGACAAAUAAAAAGGAUUUCAAAAGCUCUAAAGACUAAUGCGAGAAAGAAUAGGAUGGGAAAUGGGAUUUUAAGUAAGAAGCAAAGAAAUGAGGAUAGGGAUUUAGACAAUAGGAAGCAAAGAAUUGAUGUGGAGAUUGUACCUGGUAAGGAGCAGAAGAUGAAAGGUGGGAUUUUGAGUAAGAAGCCACGGAAUGAGGAUAUGGAUUUAGAUAACUGGAAGCAGCAAAUUGAUGUGAACAUUGGACCUGGUAAGGAGCAG
rnacentral:misc_RNA from 1 species